CAGCAGCCGCGGGAAUACGAAGGGUGCAAGCGUUACUCGGAAUUACUGGGCGUAAAGCGUGCGUAGGUGGUGGUUUAAGUCCGUUGUGAAAGCCCUGGGCUCAACCUGGGAAUUGCAGUGGAUACUGGGUCACUAGAGUGUGGUAGAGGAUAGUGGAAUUUCCGGUGUAGCAGUGAAAUGCGUAGAGAUCGGAAGGAACAUCUGUGGCGAAGGCGACUAUCUGGGCCAACACUGACACUGAGGCACGAAAGCGUGGGGAGCAAACAGGAUUAGAUACCCCAGUAGUCCCUGUCUCUUAUAU
rnacentral:rRNA from 1 species